CCAGAUGUUGCUGAACUACAACUCCCAUGAUUCUCAGCCUCUCUCUUUUAUUCAUAGAAUCAUGGGAGUUGUAGUUCAGAAAAAUCUGG
rnacentral:miRNA from 1 species